rnacentral:rRNA from 1 species
UACGAGGGGGGCAAGCGUUGUCCGGAAUUACUGGGCGUAAAGAGCUCGUAGGUGGUUUGUCGCGUUGUUCGUGAAAUCUCACGGCUUAACUGUGAGCGUGCGGGCGAUACGGGCAGACUGGAGUACUGCAGGGGAGACUGGAAUUCCUGGUGUAGCGGUGGAAUGCGCAGAUAUCAGGAGGAACACCGGUGGCGAAGGCGGGUCUCUGGGCAGUAACUGACGCUGAGGAGCGAAAGCGUGGGGAGCGAACAGG